rnacentral:rRNA from 1 species
UACGUAGGUGGCAAGCGUUGUCCGGAAUUAUUGGGCGUAAAGCGCGCGCAGGCGGUCCUUUAAGUCUGAUGUGAAAGCCCACGGCUCAACCGUGGAGGGUCAUUGGAAACUGGGGGACUUGAGUGCAGGAGAGAAGAGUGGAAUUCCUGGUGUAGCGGUGAAAUGCGCAGAUAUCAGGAAGAACACCCGUGGCUAAGGCGGCUCUCUAGUACGGUACUGACGCUGAGACGCGAAAGCGUGGGGAGCGAACAGG